GUGAAUCAUCGAAUUUUUGAACGCAAAUUGCACUCUCUGGUAUUCCGGAGAGUAUGCCUGUUUGAGGGUCAGUUUAAAUAAAAAUCGGUGUGGUCGCUGCCUUUCGUGAUGACGCGCCGGAUUUGGGUCGUCUUGCCUCGGUUUAGUUACCUAAAAUUUUGCAUGAUUUUUUUGAAAAUUUUUUAAUGGCUUUACGUAACGUUUCGGAAA
rnacentral:misc_RNA from 1 species